AGAGAAAUCAGAUUGAUGAGAGAGGUCGAGAAUCUUAGAGAGAGAGACCGAGAGCUGAGAGCUCUGCUAGAGUUCCACCCUCAGACCACCACACACACGACGUUCACCGGAGAACAAGGCACACACACGGAUCAGCAGUAAGACUUACUCACAGAGGCACUCAGGUUAUUCUUUACAAGCUUUUUGAUUGUUAGGCAGCAUCAGCUGAUGAUAUCAACUAUUCUGCUAUGACGAAGAGAUGGAUCUAUAUUCACCAUGUGAGGUCUCAUACACACGACAUCAGGGUUCUUUCUGUUGCUGUGACAUUAACCCUGAAAUUAACCCAGAGAAGAGGAUUAAGAGCAGUCGAGGUGCAAGGAAGCCUGCUGAUUUUAGUUACCAUAAGUGGGCUCAUUUGGGGUUCCCAUGCUUAUAUCAGUUGGGGAUGAUACAAAACUUUUUGCAGCACUAUUAAAUUUGGUAAAAAGGAAGAUCCCAUGGGUUGGCCUUGACCCAUAAGAUCUUGGGGCUUUUUAACUUUGGAGCUUUUUUUAAUAAAGGGUUUUUUUGUCCUGUGGGCUUUUUUUGGCCCCAAUCCCGGACUAAGGUCAUGGACUAGGGUCAUGGACUAGGGCUAGGGCCUAUUAUAGGAGUCUAUUUGAUAGGUCUACUACUGCCCUCCAAUCAUCACAUACCCGAGGAAGGACUUUGACAUCUUCGACGUCUUCAUGUCUUCAUUCCUUAUCGAUUGGUCCUUAUCCUUUAAAGUCAUAUUUCCUAAUCCCUUCAUCACCUUUGUGCAAUAACAAAAUAAACAAAUACAACAAACAAGUUAUUUCAAACUUAAAUCAAAACUGUCUUUGUUUCCCAACCACUAUACCACUAAAUUAGGAGCUGCAGUCUCGUCUGUACUCAUCAGAUCGGAAACGCUGGUGGACGACUCUUCGGAAAAAGAAUUCGAGUGCAGUGAGUGGACUGUGUCAAGGACACACUCCACUCGCUGCACUCGAGUUCUUUCUUCGGGGAGUCCUCCACCAGCGUUUCUGAUCUGAUGAGUAUCGAGGAGACUCGAGCUCUUAAUUUAGUAGUAGGUUGGGAAAAAAAAGGGGAUUUUGAUUUAGGUUUGAAAUAAUUUGUUGGUUGUAUUUGUUUAUUUUAUGAUUGCAGGAUCUCACAAAGGUGAUGGAAGGGUUAGAAAAUAUGACUUUAAAGAAUAAAGAUAAAUCGGUAAGGAAUGAAGAUGUCAAAGUCCUUGAUGAUCGUGGGCAGUAGAUAAUGACACGGUUAACGUUGAGAUGGGUAAAAAUUAUAUGAAUAUUGCAUGCAAUUGCGGGAGAAUUCACAAGGUUAUUUUGUUCAACAAGAAACUUUAUUACAAUUUGUUGUAAUAUUGAAGAAUUUAUUGUAAUAUUGUUUGUUUGAAGUUUUGCAUUGCUAUCUUUAAUCUAUAUUCUAUAAUAGUGCAAGAAUUGUCUCA